UACGGGAGGCAGCAGUGGGGAAUUUUGGACAAUGGGGGCAACCCUGAUCCAGCAAUGCCGCGUGUGUGAAGAAGGCCUUCGGGUUGUAAAGCACUUUUGUCCGGAAAGAAAUCGCGCUGGCUAAUACCUGGCGUGGAUGACGGUACCGGAAGAAUAAGCACCGGCUAACUACGUGCCAGCAGCCGCGGUAAU
rnacentral:rRNA from 1 species